rnacentral:lncRNA from 1 species
CUGCCAGUUAGCAGAGGUGAGAGUGUGAAGUGUUGAGCCAAGGGCUUAGGUGGAGGGGACGGAGCCCUCUUCUCACCUCCAGGGGCUAUCACAUCACAGCAGAUUCUUCAACUAGUACUUUGGGUGUGUCUUCAUUUCCCCCUUCCACUUCUUUAAAAAAUAUUUAAAACUGAUUGUUAUUCUGUACCUUGGCCAUUUUCUUCACUGGUCACUUACGACAGUUUUGAGGCCACUGUCUGGGGACAGUUCAUUGAUAGCUCCCUCGUCUUCAGUAAUAAGCCUCAUCGAGUGCAACAGCUAGACCUGCAGAGCCUGGACGUGGUGUCCAGGCCUGGCCCUAACACCCACCUGCCACACGACUCUGGGCAGACCACUUCAGUUUGUCCUGCUUAUCUUCCCUAUUAAGCAGUGCUUAGGUUGAGCCGGUAGUUUUGACACCAAGGUAUGGAUUUGGAAAUUCCCGUAGUGGUCAGGAGAAAAUAAUUGCUGACCUAGUCAGGGUCUCUGGAGCACCCUGUUGCUUGCCCGUGCAAGUUCAAGACCUACUUGAUGAUUGUUAAAGGUCCUUCUGGCUUUCCAGUGUAGCACUCAAGGUGGCAUUGACCCUGGAUCUAUAGAAAUCU